rnacentral:rRNA from 1 species
GAUGAACGCUGGCGGCGUGCCUAAUACAUGCAAGUCGAGCGAACAGAUGAGGAGCUUGCUCCUCUGACGUUAGCGGCGGACGGGUGAGUAACACGUGGAUAACAUACCUAUAAGACUGGGAUAACUUCGGGAAACCGGAGCUACUACCGGAUAAUAUAUUGAACCGCAUGGUUCAAUAGUGAAAGACGGCUUUGCUGUCACUUUUAGAUGGAUCCGCGCCGCAUUAGCUAGUUGGUAAGGUAACGGCUUACCAAGGCAACGAUGCGUAGCCGACCUGAGAGGGUGAUCGGCCACACUGGAACUGAGACACGGUCCAGACUCCUACGGGAGGCAGCAGUAGGGAAUCUUCCGCAAUGGGCGAAAGCCUGACGGAGCAACGCCGCGUGAGUGAUGAAGGUCUUCGGAUCGUAAAACUCUGUUAUUAGGGAAGAACAAAUGUGUAAGUAACUAUGCACGUCUUGACGGUACCUAAACAGAAAGCCACGGCUAACUACGUG